GGCCUCGAACAAGUUGCUACAUUUCUUACUCUAUCUUACACAUCUCUUUCUUUUAUUUGAUUUCGGAAUUUGUAAUCGCAAUAAUGUUUUAUUUCUUCACGCUUAAAAAGUUGAGUCCUUUUUAUUAUUUAUAUUUUGUUUUCUUAUUUUUGUUGUGCGGGUUUCAAUCUUUUUGAAUUUAUAUAAACUAGCGUUUUGAUAAAAGUUUUGUUCAUUUUUUUGAAUUUGUUUAACUUUGUCCUCGUAUUGAGUCUUGGAAGUUUGAAAUGGUGAGGAUUCGAAUAUGGUUAUGGUGAAGCAGGUACACCCAAUUGCACUGAAGACUUAAACCGUCCUAUAUAUGCACUUUGAAUCGGGAAUGCAACAAAUUUUAGGUUGUGGUUAAUGUGAUUACUAAUACUUUUGGAUUACCACUGGCAUAUCCAUCAAAAAUUUAUAUUAAAUAAACUUUGUUGAGUAUGGAUUAAUAGAAUCAAUGGACUUUAGUUUUUCAGAAAAAUAAACUUAAACAACAAUUUUAAACCUAAAAUUACGAUGCAUAAUAGGCCAUUGAUUAAAAUCCCAUUGACUAAUCAUAAAUAAUGAAAUAGUAGAGUUUCAUAAAGAAAAUAAGAAAUUUUAAAAGGCUGUAGCAUGUAAACGUAAAAUCUAAAAAGUAAUUUGUAAUACAAGUUUGUACUAUAAUAUAUAAGUGAACUAAUCAUAAUAUAUAAGUGAACUUUUACCAGCGAAGAGGACUAAUUUUAGUUUCAUUUAAGCCUAUGCUAGAAUGCUUGUAAUUGGCUUAAUGUGCAAAAUAGAAUGCCUUGUUUUAAAACGGGACAUGUGGGUGGAUCCCUUAUCAUGAUAAAUUAUCUAUUAACAAAAAAUUAAUAUAAUAAAAUAAAGUAAAUGUAGAGAUUUUUUUUAAUAAACAUUCAUAUUCCAUAUGAAGUGGAAUAAGUUAAAUAAUAUUACAAUUUAUUUGAAGUAGUAAAUCAUUUUAUAUUAUAAUUUAUUUGAUUUAAAAACAUAACCCUUUUUCUAGUUAAAAGAGUGAUUUGUGAAUAUAAAUUAAGAACAAUGAUUUCUGAAUAUUUAUAUAUAAAAGAAUGACUAUAAGUUUACUAAUAUUAUUGAAUGAUAUACUAGAAAAAUGUAUAUUUCCUUGUUACCUUUUUCAAAAAGUAGACCUAGAUGAUAUUUAG